rnacentral:misc_RNA from 1 species
UACGUAGGGUGCGAGCGUUGUCCGGAAUUACUGGGCGUAAAGAGCUCGUAGGCGGUUUGUCGCGUCGUCUGUGAAAUCCUCCAGCUUAACUGGGGGCGUGCAGGCGAUACGGGCAGACUUGAGUACUACAGGGGAGACUGGAAUUCCUGGUGUAGCGGUGAAAUGCGCAGAUAUCAGGAGGAACACCGGUGGCGAAGGCAGGUCUCUGGGCUGUAACUGACGCUGAGGAGCGAAAGCAGGGGGAGCGAACAGC